rnacentral:rRNA from 1 species
UGCUAUAAUGCAGUCGAACGCACUCUGGAACUGAUUGAAGAAGCUUGCUUCUGAUUGAAGCUCAUUUGAGUGAGUGGCGGACGGGUGAGUAACACGUGGGUAACCUGCCCUAAAGUGGGGGAUAACAUUUGGAAACAGAUGCUAAUACCGCAUAAAACCUAGCACCGCAUGGUGCAAGGUUGAAAGAUGGUUUCGGCUAUCACUUUAGGAUGGACCCGCGGUGCAUUAGUUAGUUGGUGAGGUAAAGGCCCACCAAGACUGUGAUGCAUAGCCGACCUGAGAGGGUAAUCGGCCACACUGGGACUGAGACACGGCCCAGACUCCUACGGGAGGCAGCAGUAGGGAAUCUUCCACAAUGGACGAAAGUCUGAUGGAGCAACGCCGCGUGAGUGAAGAAGGUUUUCGGAUCGUAAAACUCUGUUGUUGGAGAAGAAUGUAUCUGAUAGUAACUGAUCAGGUAGUGACGGUAUCCAACCAGAAAGCCACGGCUAACUACGUGCCAGCAGCCGCGGUAAUACGUAGGUGGCAAGCGUUGUCCGGAUUUAUUGGGCGUAAAGCGAGCGCAGGCGGUUUUUUAAGUCUGAUGUGAAAG